AGAGUUUGAUCCUGGCUCAGGAUGAACGCUGGCGGCGUGCUUAACACAUGCAAGUCGAACGAUUAACCCGCCCUCGGGCGGUUAUAGAGUGGCGAACGGGUGAGUAACACGUGACCAACCUGCCCCUUGCUCCGGGACAACCCAGGGAAACCUCGGCUAAUACCGGAUACUCCGCGCAGCCCGCAUGGGGGGCGCGGGAAAGCCCAGACGGCAAGGGAUGGGGUCGCGGCCCAUUAGGUAGACGGCGGGGUAACGGCCCACCGUGCCCGCGAUGGGUAGCCGGGUUGAGAGACCGAUCGGCCACAUUGGGACUGAGAUACGGCCCAGACUCCUACGGGAGGCAGCAGUGGGGAAUUUUGCGCAAUGGGGGAAACCCUGACGCAGCAACGCCGCGUGCGGGACGAAGGCCUUCGGGUUGUAAACCGCUUUCAGCAGGGAAUAUAGUGAAGGUACCUGCAGAAGAAGCUCCGGCUAACUACGUGCCAGCAGCCGCGGUAAUACGUAGGGAGCGAGCGUUAUCCGGAUUCAUUGGGCGUAAAGCGCGCGUAGGCGGCCCGUCAAGCGGGGUUUCAAAUCCAGGGGCUCAACCUCUGGCCGGACCCCGAACUGGCGGGCUCGAGUGCGGUAGAGGAAGGUGGAAUUCCCAGUGUAGCGGUGAAAUGCGCAGAUAUUGGGAAGAACACCGAUGGCGAAGGCAGCCUUCUGGGCCGCCACUGACGCUGAGGCGCGAAAGCUAGGGGAGCGAACAGGAUUAGAUACCCUGGUAGUCCUAGCCGUAAACGAUGGGCACUAGGUGUGGGGGAGCAUCUCCUCCGUGCCGCAGCCAACGCAUUAAGUGCCCCGCCUGGGGAGUACGGCCGCAAGGCUAAAACUCAAAGGAAUUGACGGGGGCCC
rnacentral:rRNA from 1 species